CACACCAAACACCAAUCUGCAUUCUGCUCCAUCAAUCAAAGGGACUGAGCAGGGGAGGGAGGCACAGAAAGAGCCUCUUAAGAAGGCUGAAUAAACACCGUGCUCUUAAGCAACACAUCUACCUUUUACUCCACUGGGCUUACACCACGCCCCUGUGCUUCAGAAAAAUAGAAAACUAUGUCUGUCUCCAUACCAGGAAAGGGGAGAGUUUCACUUCCUUCUCAUCUCUACAGUCCCUGCCACAUUUUUUUUUCUUUUAGAGUGCUUUACCGGUUCCUACCAGUUCCCCCACACUUACAGCAUUUCUCAGGUAGUGUUUGACAAGGAAAAGAGUCCAAAUAUCCUAACACCUUCUUUGUUGACAUGUAUAAGGUCGUCGACAGGGAUCUAGAAUGUGUUAGCUGUGGAUCAUCCUUGGGAGAACAAAGAAUGUUCCAUGAAACUUCUUUCUUUAAUUCUCUUUAUUACCCCAACACACACACACACACACACACACACACACACACACACACACACACACACACACACCACAAUCCUUCCAAGAAUAUAUGUGUCUUCAGUACUUAGUCUGUAAUUGUUGCUUCCACUCCCUUAUUAUUUUCUCUUCUACUGAGAGACCAUUUGACCAUGUGCCCUGCUUCUGGCCGAUGGCUCUGGCUGGGUGUUAUUUCCGUAGUCUCUGCUCUAAGUCCUAGAAAAUCAGUGCUAGAUUUCAAACCUCCAGUUGCUAUCCAAUCAUUUCAAGUUCAGCGGGGGUUUUUGUCAUUGUUGGAUUGCUUUUAUACCUACAAAGAAAAUCUAAGUCCUACCAUCUAAGAGCAUGGCAGUGGGGAGGGGGAGAGUCCCACAGUGUUGUGGACAUCUGCCAGUGCUCACAGUUCAACCAAUGGAGACUCCAGAAUAGGUUCUGAAGGUGGCUAGAAAUGCCUCGUACCCAACAUUUGCUAUGUACCUGGGAGGAAAUAAAGAAUCCAAUCGAAUACAAUAUGCAGGAGGCACUGUGGAAAGAGAAAACUUCUUUGCAAGAUAUUGCAGUGGGCAGAGCGAUGGAAAUGGGCUGGGUGGACAAUAAACUGAGUGUGUGAGAGACCACAUCGUCAUAGACUGGCAGGAGGUACAGGAGGGGCCAUGCAGUCUUCUGCAAGAAGAGGGUUCCUGGUGGAAGGGAGAACAGAUGAGCAAAUUUCCUGGGCAGAGAGAAGCCUUUCGUGCUUCCGGAACAACGCCAGGCCUGGAGCAGAGAGCACAAGAAGAGCUGGGACCUGAGAGCUGUCAGGUCAGGUGGGGCUUUCAAGUACUGUGAGAAGAAUAUGGGCUUCCUUAGAUGACUCGUGUGAGAGGCCUCACUGUAGCUACUGUCCCUAGGAGGAGCUUAAGUCUGGGCAUCAGUGUGAGAUCCUAAGAUAGAGGGGAGAGGGGGCAGCCGCUGCUGCUGCUGCUGCUGCUGCUGCUGCUGCUGCUGCUGCUGCUGCUGCUGCUGCUGCCGGUAGAAGACAAGGGUGGGAAAGGAAGAGGAGGAGGAGCUGUAACGUGCGAGCAUUUUAUGUUACCAAAAUCGAUCUUAUCACCCUGGGAGCCAGGGUACUGAUAAUCGUUUUCUUUGUGAAGAAAGGAGGUUCAGUGGUUUGUUUUCUGUUUUUUGCUUUUUGUUUUUUUUUUUUUACAUCGUCAUUUUAAGAUGCCUUUCUGUGUUAUACGACAGUUCCCUCCAAAUUGGAACAUCCAUUUGGAGAAGGGAGAGGGAGACUCACCAGGUCAACAUGUCUGCAGUGCCACCCUCCCCAGCAGUGAGCUGCUACUGAAUGGGGAGCCGAGGCCCAUGUGAGCUGUCAGUAGGAGCAUCUUGAGCUGCCUGUCAGCUGUGCAGAGCUCCAGAGAUGCAGCCUCUGUGAGUCAUCGCCCAUGUUGGGCUUCUCAGUGAUGCACGACCAAGUCAAGCUCACACUGGGCACCAUGCACAGAGAAAGGGGGAGAAAACUCAGGGAGGAAAAUCUUGCUCUGAUCUGUUAAUAGCAUCCUGGCAGCCCCGUUAACAUCCAAAGUUGAUUGAAACUGAACUGGUUGGAAACUAUAAGCAGUUCUUAAAGCAUUACAGUAGGGUGGCCUUCACAGGAUGGGAUAAGCCCACAGCAUCGGCCCAGGUCUCUGGAUGACUUGUAAUCCAUGGAUGCUAGUCACCCAGACAGCUGCUUCAAAAUCGACCCAGCACAGAGCACGCCUGCCUCACCGCGGGACAGUGAGGUCGGUCUUUCAGUCUGUUUUAAAGGUCAAGACGCUGAACCCAAGGACCUUGAAGGAUUUCUACUGGUAAAUAGCAGAGCCAACUCCUUGAACCCAGGAUUGUCUGAACUCAGAGACGCUCUGUGGUUUCUUUCUUUCUUUUUUUCCUAUAACCAUUUUAUUAACCGUUAUUUUUAUGUUAACUUUCCGUGAAUGUCUUUUGAACUGAUUAAAUAAUUUAAAUAUUAUUUUGUAACGUUUUCUUUAAUGGGACCUUUCCUAUUUAUUCUUUUUAAUAAUUUGGGAAGUUAGCAUGUAAAUAAGUGCGUUUGAACGUGACAUUUUCUUUCUGGCCCACUUUCUCUCCCUACAUAUAGUCCUUGUUUCAUGCCCCCCUCUCUCCCUGUUCCCCUCCUACUUGCAUUGCACACAAGCACACAAGCACAGCUAAACUAGCAUCUGUGUAUAAGA
rnacentral:sRNA from 1 species